UCUCAGUGAGUGUGACAAUAACCGGCGAUUGUUGCAAGGGAGUUCAGAAUGUCAUCGAGAGCACAAAUAAUAUACUUUUUGUCAACCCGCAUGGGGGCUGUCAUUGGUCUUGGUGCUGUUACGUUUUAUUUCAUGUCGAGCUCUGAUGACUCUACAGUAGAGCGUCGAAAGGAGGAAGGUUACCCAUACGAUGCAAAAACUGCAUAUUAUAGAAGAAAAUUUAUGGAAAAUGUAGACAAGAAAGAGAAAAAGUAAUGAUGACUUGUAGAUGAAGUGUUUCAUUUUGCUGAAGAUGAAGAAAUGGACAGGAAUGUGAUUUUCACAUGUUUGACAUCAUUAUGUUUGACAUCAUCUGAAAUUGGUAGCAUGUGUGUCACCUGAACUUCAAGUCUUAAAAAUCAUCCCUGUGUUCCAAGAAUGUGUAAAUGGUUGAGCAAAGAUCAUGGAAGUACAUUUUAUGACGCCUUCACACUUAAUACUGUACUGAGGAAUUUGAUACAUGUGUCUUAUCUCUUAAUAUACAAUGAGGGACAAAAUGGUGAUCAUUUAUAUCAUUCUUGUUUGAAGUGUUAAAUAUGAAGCUAUUAAUAUAACUGAUAACAAGAUUUUUCACGACACCCCUUUUUGACUGUCCUGCUCCCAGUGGUACACGCUUGAUCAUCAUAAUGGCACAUUAAUACCAAUAAGUCUAUGUUAUAUUUGAAAUUUAUAAAUGUACAUUGGUGAAAGACAGACUGUAAGAGCUGAUUAUUUCUCCCCUGCCAAAAGUUUCCCCCGAGAAAGAAACUUGUGAUCACGAAAGAAGAGUACAGUAUGCCUUGAAUGGUUCAGCUGUUGAAUUUUGGAUUUAGAACAUGGUUUUUGAAUGAAAGUGGAUGUGAAUGGAAAUGUGAAUGACUCAGUUAAAGAAUGUGAAUACAUUGUACAUGUGAAUGACCUCACCUAUAUAGUGUUUUAAUGGAAAUGAAUUGUCAUUCCCUGUUUUGUCGGGUAUAAAUGUACAGUUAUUAUUUAACAGUGACAACAUGAUAGAUGUGUUUACUUUUGUAUUUGUUUUGUUACUGAAUUAAAAGCUGAAAGCUACAUAAAC